AGCUGGCUCAGGCACAGCGGCUGUUAAUUGCAGUGUAGAUGUCUGGGCUCUGGCGGAGCCAGGCUGUAGGACGCCUGCGAGGGGGAG